UCAAAAUUUUCCCCAAAUUCUUCCUCCCAUCCGCGUGUCCUAACUUUCCCCAAAAUUUCCCCCAAUUUCUUCCUCCCAUCCGCGUGAAGUCCCGUCGGCUUUCUCCCAAUUUGACCGUCUGAAGUCCCGUCGCCACCACCACCCCCCUCCUGCCCAUCCGUCGAAACCUUCUCCACCAACUCGUCGCCACCACCAACCCGUCGCCACCACCCCCGUCUUCUCCAAACCUCUCCAAUCAACCCGAAGCUUCAAAUCGUGGGCGUCGGUCGUCACCCCUUCCCUCCGCCGGAAAUCAAGGCCAAAGGAGAUGUCAUGGCUAUGGGCUGAAGCUUUGAGAAAAAAGAAUGAAAAAUGAAAUGUGAGAUCUUAAACUUUGAUGGUGUGUAGGGUCUUUUUGUUUGUCUAUGCAUUUUCCAAGUGAAUUUUAGUACUUUUGAUUUUUCUAUUGAUAUUUUGUUUAUGGUUGCUAUUGAGUUGCUUUGAUUGAAGGAUAGAGGGAAGUGAUUAUUGAUAAUUAUAGGAAAGGCAGUAUUUGUUGAAGGAAUUCCCUGUGAACUGGUUUCUUGUAAGAAGUAUUGUAAAGUUUUGAAGGUUGGGUUGUGGUAAUGGAAGCACCGUUAUUCCAAUCUUGCGGUAACCUCCAAAAAUUCAGAUGACAAAAGCAUCAAGAAGUCGAUCGUCGGUCUGGAAAGUUAGUGAUAAACAUCCAGGUUGGAUAUGCUUCAGCUGAGACUUUUUAGUUCAAUAGAGAAUCAUACAACAUUUUAGUUGGAGGUAUAUCUUUUCUGUUAAAUUUUGAUAUUUUUUUUUCGAUGCAGAUGGUCGUAUCAGGAAAGGAAAAGAAAAACAAAAACAAAAAACAAAGCUAACAAGUGAAGAACCACCUAGGAGAGAAUGGGAAUUUCCUUAUUAAAAAU